CCCCUUCCGACGGCUCUCGCUGCGCAGGCUGGGACGCCUCUCCGCCCUCCGCCCCCACCGCGGAAAGUUAAGUUUGAAGAGGGGGGAAGAGAGAGAAACAUGGACAUGAAGAGGAGGAUCCACCUGGAGCUGAGGAACUGUACCCCGGCAGCUGUUCGAGAACUUGUCCUGGACAAUUGCAAAUCAAAUGAUGGGAAAAUUGAGGGCUUAACAGCUAAUUUGUGAACUUAGAGUUCCUCAGUUUAAUAAAUGUAGGCUUGAUUUCAGUUUCAAAUCUUCCCAAACUACCUAAAUUGAAAAAGCUUGAGCUCAGUGACAAUAGAAUUUGUGGAGGUCUGGAUAUGUUAGCAGAAAAACUUCCAAAUCUUACACAUCUAAACUUCAGUGGAAAUAAACUGAAAGAUAUCAGCACCCUGGAACCUUUCAAAAAGUCGGAAUGUCUCAAGAGCCUGGACCUGUUUAACUGUGAGGUCACUAACCUCAAUGACUACCGAGAGAGUGUCUUCAGGCUCCUGCCCUAGCUGACCUAUCUGGAUGGCUAUGACCGAGAGGAUCGUGAAGCCCCAGAUUCAGAUGCCGAGGUGGAUGGUGUGGAUGAAGACGAGGAUGAUGAGGAAGGAGAAGAUGAGGAUAAGGAGGAGGAUGAAGACAGCGAGGAAGAAGAGUUUGAUGAUGAAGAGUUUGAUGAUGAAGACGAAGAUGAAGAAGGGGAGGAGGAUGAAGAUGAAGUCAAUGGGGAGGAAGAAGAAUUUGGACAGGAUGGAGAAGUUGAUGAAGAUGAUGAGGAUGAAGACAAAGAUGAAGAUGAAGAAGAGGAAGAAAGCGGGAAAGGUGAAAAGAGGAAAAGAAAAACAGAUGAUGAAGGAGAAGAUGAUUAAUAAGACCCCAAUAACCUGCAAAAAAAAGAACUGUUCAGUAUUGGUUGGACUGCUGACAUGGAUUUGGUAGCUGUUUUGUUUUGUUUUUUAAAAGAAAAAAAAAAAGGUAGCUGUGAUACAAACCCCAGGACACCCACCCACCCAAAGAGCCAAAGAAUAGUUCCUGUGACAUUCCACCUUCCUCCAUUUAGUCCUUCUUGGAAAUCCACCACCAAGCUUGGGGACUUCACCCCAACAAAAUUGUAAGUGUUGUUAGGUUUUUGUGUAAGACUUGCUGUAACGUGGAUAGCUGUGAUUGGUGAGUCAACUGUCCGUGGCUACCAGUUACACCAAGAUUGUAACAGCAUUUUUACUUUCUGUACAACAAAGAAGCUUUGUAAAUAAAAUCUUAACAUU